rnacentral:rRNA from 1 species
UGGGGAAUAUUGGGCAAUGGGCGAAAGCCUUACCCAGCAACGCCGCGUGAGGGAAGAAGGUUUUCGGAUUGUAAACCUCUGUCCUGGGGGACGAAGGAAGUGACGGUACCCCGGGAGGAAGCCCCGGCUAACUACGUGCCAGCAGCCGCGGUAAUACGUAGGGGGCAAGCGUUAUCCGGAUUUACUGGGUGUAAAGGGAGCGUAGACGGCGAUGCAAGCCUGGAGUGAAAGGCGGGGGCUCAACCCCCGGACUGCUUUGGGAACUGCAUGGCUAGAGUGUCGGAGAGGCAGGCGGAAUUCCUAGUGUAGCGGUGAAAUGCGUAGAUAUUAGGAGGAACACCAGUGGCGAAGGCGGCCUGCUGGACGAUGACUGACGUUGAGGCUCGAAAGCGUGGGGAGCAAACAGGAUUAGAUACCC